GAAAUGCAAAUCAAAACUACAGUGAGGUAUCACCUCACACUAGUUAGAAUGGGCAUCACCAGAAAAUCUACAAACAGCAAAUGCUGGAGAGGGUGUGGAGAAAAGGGAACCAUCUUGCACUGUUGGUGGGAAUGUAAAUUGAUACAGCCACUAUGGACAACAGUAUGGAGGUUCCUCAAAAAACUAAAAAUAGAAUUACCACAUGACCCAGCCAUCCCACUACUGGGCAUAUACCCAGAGAAAACCAUAAUUCAAAAAGACACAUGCACCCCAAUGUUCAUUGCAGCACUAUUUACAAUAGCCAGGUCAUGGAAGCAACCUAAAUGCCCAUUGACAGAUGAAUAAAGAAGAUGUGGUACAUAUAUACAAUGGAGUAUUACUCAGCCAUAAAAAGGAACGAAAUUGGGUCAGUUGUUGAGACGUGGAUGGAUCUAGAGACAGUCAUACAGAAUGAAGUAAGUCAGAAAGAGAAAAACAAAUAUUGUAUAUUAACACAUAUAUGUGGAACCUAGAAAAAUGGUACAGAUGAACCAGUUUGCAGGGCAGAAACAGACACAGAUGUAGAGAUCAAGCGUAUGGACACCAAGGGGGGAAAGUGGCGGGGGGGGGUGGGGGGGGGUGGGAUGAAUUGGGAGAUUGGGAUUGACAUAUAUACACUAACAUGUAUAAAAUGGAUAACUAAUAAGAACCUGCUGUAUAAAAAAAAUAAAAUAAAAUUCAAAAAUUCAAAACAAAAAAGAAUGUAAACAAAGGACGUUGCAGCCAUUCAACCUUUAGCCACUGCAGCAGUUUGCCCUCACCCGCACAGCGCACCCUGAGGGGGUUCAGGAUGGAGAGAAAACAGGAUACUGGCCAUAGAUAGUUAACGUACAUGUCAAAGGAAGAAUUUAAAUAAGCCCAGACUCUUGCAUCUUCUCAUACACAGAAAAGUGCUAAAUUCAUUAACUUGGGAUGUCUGGUUUUUCCUUAAUUAGCAGUAAUAUUGAUAUUUUGAUGUUCGACCUUUUUUUUUUUUUUUUUUUUUUUUUUGCAAAAACUCCUAUAUAUCCUGACUCCUCCCUUAGGAUGUAUCCCAGGCUUAAAUCCUCAUAAUGUCCCUAAAUAAAGCAUAAUCCUCAACUUUUAGUUGUGCAUUUUUUUUCAGUCGACAGUAGUAUAUCAAGGCAUAUGCUAUGAGAUAUGGGUUCAAAUUUUUAACUGGUUUCAAAUAACUGAAAAGAAUUCCCAAUACCAUUUAUUAAAAGUUCCAUCUUUGUUCCACAGACUUGAUGUUCUUCUAUGUAUUUGAAUUUAUUUCUGACUUUCUUUUCAAUUCUAUUUGUCGGUCUGUUCAUGCCAUUAUUACAAUAUUUUAAUUAUUCAAAUUCUAUACUAUAUUUCAAUACCUGAUGGGGCUAAAACCCCCAUACAGCUAUUUGUUUGUGGCUAUUCUUUUACUUUUCAUGUAAAUUUUAGAAACAGCUUGUCUGGUCUUAUGGGGAAAAAUACCUGAUCUCAUUAAAUUCAUACCUUAGCCAAGGGAGAACCAACAUCUUUGUGUUGUCUUCUUAUCCAAGGACA